rnacentral:rRNA from 1 species
GCUGGCGGCGUGCCUAAUACAUGCAAGUCGAGCGAACGGACGAGAAGCUUGCUUCUCUGAUGUUAGCGGCGGACGGGUGAGUAACACGUGGAUAACCUACCUAUAAGACUGGGAUAACUUCGGGAAACCGGAGCUAAUACCAGAUAAUAUUUUGAACCGCAUGGUUCAAAAGUGAAAGACGGUCUUGCUGUCACUUAUAGAUGGAUCCGCGCUGCAUUAGCUAGUUGGUAAGGUAACGGCUUACCAAGGCAACGAUGCAUAGCCGACCCGAGAGGGUGAUCGGCCACACUGGAACUGAGACACGGUCCAGACUCCUACGGGAGGCAGCAGUAGGGAAUCUUCCGCAAUGGGCGAAAGCCUGACGGAGCAACGCCGCGUGAGUGAUGAAAGUCUUCGGAUCGUAAAACUCUGUUAUUAGGGAAGAACAUAUGUGUAAGUAACUGUGCACAUCUUGACGGUACCUAAUCAGAAAGCCACGGCUAACUACGUGCCAGCAGCCGCGGUAAUACGUAGGUGGCAAGCGUUAUCCGGAAUUAUUGGGCGUAAAGCGCGCGUAGGCGGUUUUUUAAGUCUGAUGUGAAAGCCCACGGCUCAACCGUGGAGGGUCAUUGGAAACUGGAAAACUUGAGUGCAGAAGAGGAAAGUGGAAUUCCAUGUGUAGCGGUGAAAUGCGCAGAGAUAUGGAGGAACACCAGUGGCGAAGGCGACUUUCUGGUCUGUAACUGACGCUGAUGUGCGAAAGCGUGGGGAUCAAACAGGAUUAGAUACCCUGGUAGUCC